rnacentral:rRNA from 1 species
AUAUUCUGUGCGCAGGAAAGAGGGGGAUCUUCGGACCUCUUGCUUUCGGAGCGGCCGAUGUCAGAUUAGCUAGUUGGUGGAGUAAAGGCCUACCAAGGCGACGAUCUGUAGCGGGUCUGAGAGGAUGAUCCGCCACACUGGAACUGAGACACGGUCCAGACUCCUACGGGAGGCAGCAGUGGGGAAUUUUGGACAAUGGGGGCAACCCUGAUCCAGCCAUGCCGCGUGAGUGAAGAAGGCCUUCGGGUUGUAAAGCUCUUUCGGCCGGGAAAAAAUCGGUGAGGCUAAUAUCCUCAUCGGAUGAUGGUACCGGACUAAGAAGCACCGGCUAACUACGUGCCAGCAGCCGCGGUAAUACGUAGGGUGCGAGCGUUAAUCGGAAUUACUGGGCGUAAAGCGUGCGCAGGCGGUUUUUUAAGACAGGCGUGAAAUCCCCGGGCUUAACCUGGGAACUGCGCUUGUGACUGGAAGGCUAGAGUACGGCAGAGGGGGGUGGAAUUCCACGUGUAGCAGUGAAAUGCGUAGAGAUGUGGAGGAACACCAAUGGCGAAGGCAGCCCCCUGGGUCGAUACUGACGCUCAUGCACGAAAGCGUGGGGAGCAAACAGGAUUAGAUACCCUGGUAGUCCACGCCCUAAACGAUGUCAACUAGGUGUUGGGUGGGUAAAACCACUUAGUACCGGAGCUAACGCGUGAAGUUGACCGCCUGGGGAGUACGGCCGCAAGGUUAAAACUCAAAGGAAUUGACGGGGACCCGCACAAGCGGUGGAUGAUGUGGAUUAAUUCGAUGCAACGCGAAAA